CCUUAGCCCCGGUUGAAGUGGAAACCCUUUUGUGCCGGGGUUCGGCACAAAAGGUUGUAGCGGAAAACGGGACGAUAU
rnacentral:sRNA from 1 species